CAAGCGGUGGAGCAUGUGGUUUAAUUCGAUGCAACGCGAAGAACCUUACCUGGGCUUGACAUCCCGGGAAUCCCCUGGAAACAGGGGAGUGCCUUCGGGAACCCGGUGACAGGUGCUGCAUGGCUGUCGUCAGCUCGUGUCGUGAGAUGUUGGGUUAAGUCCCGCAACGAGCGCAACCCUUGUCUUUAAUUGCCAUCAUUUAGUUGGGCACUUUAAAGAGACUGCCGGUGUUAAGCCGGAGGAAGUGGGGAUGACGUCAAGUCCUCAUGGCCUUUAUGCCCAGGGCUACACACGUGCUACAAUGGGCGGUACAAAGAGAAGCAACCUCGCGAGGGUGAGCAAAUCUCAAAAAGCCGUUCUCAGUUCGGAUUGAAGUCUGCAACUCGACUUCAUGAAGUCGGAAUCGCUAGUAAUCGCGGAUCAGCAUGCUGCGGUGAAUACGUUCCCGGGCCUU
rnacentral:rRNA from 1 species